CGGGCGGAGGUGUCAUGGCCGCACGGCGGUGCAGGAGGCCCUGCGCGCUUCCCCCCCUUUUGGCGGCGGCUCGCGGUGCCCCUCAAGGCGACUCGGCCUCGAAGGCUCAGCCCGGCGUGGGGGGCGGCAGCGAAUCCCAGUGUCUUGGCGGUUCCCUUAUACGAGAGGUGUAGGAAACCCGGUGCCUGCCGUAUUAAUUAAUGCGUGUGGUCAUUAAUCUUCAGUCCAAAGGGCUCCAAUCUUUCACUUUACAGCUUACAAUCACAUCCAAAUUUUCAUGCUAAUUUAGAAAAAAUUACAGAAUUGCAACGGUUGGGAGAGACCUCGAGAUCGUCAAGUCCAACCCCCUUACUAAAGCGGUUACCCUACAACAGGUCACACAGGAUGGAAUCUUAACAUAAAUACAUGGCUUGGGUUGGAAGAGACCUCAAGGAUCACCAGGUUUCAACCCCCCUGCCACUGGGCUGCCAACCGCUAGAUCAAGCUCUAGAUCACAAUGCCCAGGGCCCCAUCCAACCCAGCCUUGAACACCUCCAGGGAUGGGGCAUCCACCACCUCUCUGGGCAGCCUGUGACAGUACUUUAUCACUCUCAACAAAAAAUUUCUCCCUGCAUCUGAUCUAAAUCUUCCAUCCUUUAGUUUAAAGCCAUUCCCUCUUGUCCUAUCAUUAUCUACCCAUGUAAAGAGUUGUCUUCCCUCAAGUUUAUCAUCUCCCUUUAAAUAUUGGAAAGCUGUAAUGCAGUCUCCCUGGAGCCUUCUCCAAGCUGAACAAGCCAAGCUCCUUCAGCCUGUCUUCUUAGGAGAAGUGCUCCAGCCCCCAGAGCAUCUUUGUGGCCCUCCUUUGAACCCUCUCCAAAAACUCUACAUCUUUUCUGUUAUUUUGUCACCCAUGACAAUUGCUCGUUAUUCU
rnacentral:lncRNA from 1 species